UACGGAGGAUGCAAGCGUUAUCCGGAAUGAUUGGGCGUAAAGCGUCCGCAGGUGGCAAUGUAAGUCUGCUGUCAAAGCGUCUGGCUCAACCAGAUAAAGGCAGUGGAAACUACAUAGCUAGAGUAAGGUAGGGGUAGAGGGAAUUCCUGGUGUAGCGGUGAAAUGCGUAGAUAUCGAGAGGAACACCUGCGGCGAAGGCGGGUUGCUGGGCUGACACUGACGCUGAGGCGCGAAAGCUAGGGGAGCGAACGGG
rnacentral:rRNA from 1 species